CCCUGUGCUUUAGGAGUCUUGCUGGUAAAAAUGCCUCCUUUCUUUCACCGGAAAUCUUUCCAUUCCCUAAGAGGUACAGGAGGAAGCCUGUCUACAGGACUGUGCCUCACAAGGACCUCUUCCCUCUGACAGCCCCUGGACUGGCGGCUGUCACUGGGUUGGGAGAGUUGCAGUUCAGGAAUCAGCAUCCUUUCCACAGAGAAUUUUAGCCUGAACUUGGGGACUGUGACUAAACCCCAGUCCCUUUCACAGGCCAGCCCCUUCAAGUUCAGAGGGAUCAUGCAAAUGAGGCCCCAAGGCCUGCCUGGAGCAUCUCAGAGUUCCCCCAGGCAAGUAUGUAAAUGAGACCGAAAUAGUGACCCUGGUUUACAAAUAUAAAGUCGAUGUCGGGGCUUCAUUUGUUCUGUGCUGUUCUCUGCCUGCCUUCUUACCUCAGUCUCCCCACCUGGAAAAGACACGUGCUGGGUUUUAUGCGCCAAGGAGCCAUAAUGACGCCCACUUAGGCAGCUGCUAGUCGAGAAUCAUGUUCCAUUAUUGUUCCCCACACUGUAUUAUACACAAAAAACAUAUGUCAGCGGGCUUUGAGAGCAGGCAGGAGGCCUGAAGGGAAUAGCCUCAAGUGGGGGAGGCAGAGUGGAAAAUCUGCACCCUCACUCAUCAUAGAAUUCCUAAUUUCUAGUUUAUCAUUCAAGAUGCUCUGCCUUUCAGAUGCAGUUUAAAGCAGACAACCUGAAAUUAAAACACAGAAAUAAACAACUGAAGAGGGUCUCCUUUGCCUUUCUCAGUGUGGAAGAGAUGACUUGUACCAGGGUCCAAGUCUUCAAGAUGAUGGAGAGGGAAGGAGAUGCAAUCAUGGAUACGCUCUGAAAGAUUGUUUACAGACUGCUUGGUGACUGUGCAACUUUUUUUCUUUUAGUACCAACAAGUGGUACCAAGCGCCAUUUCUCUUUGAAUAAUCCCAGGGCUUCGUGCCAGUGUUUGAUUUUGCAAUCAGUCCUUCUGGUAGCACUUUAAAUUAAUGUUCGCACAUAUGGAUUUAAUUGGAAUUUAAUAAGACACUGCAUAAGUAAAAACCAUGUGAUACUAAAAACAUAUUUACUGAAGAUUAACCACCAUGGAGAUACAAAUCUAUUAUGUAGAAACCCCAAUAAAUAUUUUUAGAAUGUUAAAUCA
rnacentral:lncRNA from 1 species